rnacentral:rRNA from 1 species
CCUACGGGAGGCAGCAGUGGGGAAUAUUGCACAAUGGGCGCAAGCCUGAUGCAGCCAUGCCGCGUGUAUGAAGAAGGCCUUCGGGCUGUAAAGUACUUUCAGCGGGGAGGAAGGGAGUGAGGUUAAUAACCUCGUUCAUUGACGUUACCCGCAGAAGAAGCACCGGCUAACUCCGUGCCAGCAGCCGCGGUAAU